CCUCGAGAAACGAGAAACAAUGACGGGGUUUAUUGGAUUCAUAUAUUUGGGUAUUAUGAGUAAUUUUAAACACUCAAGUGCACAAUCCAUGUGUGAAAAAAUAAGAUUCAUCUGACUGUGAUUUAUUGUAUGUUAUGAGAAAGAGCCUUUUGUUCUAAUGAGCCAACAGAAAGGGUCAAGCUCCUUUUGAACGCUCCAUGGCUCUCACUGCUGUCCUAGCCUAACGUUCAACCCCACCUCUUGUUGAUCCAGUGUCUGAAAUGCAUGUUCCUGACACAUAAUUACCGCCAGUCUUGAUAAAUACCCCUAUCGCCCAGCAGCCCUGCGCUUCCAGCCCUCGGACCCCAGCCCCACAGAUUCAUAAUUCAUAACAUUGGCUCGACUUUGAGUCCUUCCAGACUUGGCAUGGCCUCUCUCCAGCUCAGGACCAGGCUUUGAGCCGACCAUGAGAAUGUGGCUGCAGGCGGUUUGUGAAACUGCUCGGGAUUCCAUGAAUUCCCAGCUGCGGAGUUCACCUGCCAAACAGAUUCAUACACUGUCCACGUAAUUUGAUUAGCGUGCACCAAAUCACGCUAACACGAUUAUAAGCUCCCCAGACACAGGGUGGCAGAAUGAUUCCAGAUGGAGACACGAUCACCUCCAUUACCACCUCCAUCAUCACCCUCAUCCUCCUCAUCUUCAUCAUCAUGUUCAAGAUCAUCAUCAUCAUCUUCAUCAUCAUCAUCAUCGUCGUCAUCAUCAAACACUCAACUUACCGUAAUUCAGCUCAAAGUUGUACACACAAUUUUUCUUCGGGAUAAGUCUUUAAUCUUGUACAAAUUGCAGAAACAAAGAGCAUCAAAUUAAAAAUAUUUUUCAUCAUAAUUAGCGGUUAUCGACUCAUCAGGGGUAAAAUGUAUUUCAAAAAAUGUAUUUUCAUUAAGCUAUUAAUCGCUACUACCUUCACAGUGUCUCAAACGGCAUCUUCCUCAGUCUGUUCCUCGUUCAAAGCCUCAUAGCAGUGAGCCUUCUGUGAAUGUGAUUGUGAUUAAUGACUAUCGCAGGAGCCACAUUCUGGACACGGUCGCCAAACCUGCCCACACCAUCAAUGGCUUCGCACCCAGAAACAUUUUGCCGAUGCCAGCGACGCCAUAUAAUACUUUCCUCGCGGCCCGGGCCAGCCCAUUUGGAAAGGGCAUUGAUAUAAACCAUCCUGAUGAUGGUGAAAACAGGUGUUUUCAUCCAACGCUCUCCAUCCAUCCCAGUCACGCCUGUGUACCAUCGACGUGGUGGAGGGCUCUUGUACUGCUGGUGACCCUCCUGAGAACAGAACCCUAAACCUCCGUUGUCGUUAAGGACUCUCAGUGAUGAGUGUUCAACCUGGAGGGAGCCCUCUCCAUCCCUAUCUCUUCCAUUAUAUCAGGUCUCUCCAUGGAUGUGUGUGUGUGUGUGUGUGUGUGUGUGUGUGUGUGUGUGUGUGUGUGUGUGUGUGUGUGUGUGUGUGUGUGUGUGUGUGUGUGUGUGUGUGUGUGUGUGUGGAAGUGCAUGCAGUGUCUUUCCAUGCACGUGUGUUUCGGUGUAUGUGUGUAUGUGUGUUUUUUCCAUGGAUUUGUUUGCGUGUGAGUCCAUGCAUGGAAUUGUCUUUCCAUGCAUGUGUGUGUGUGUGUGUGUGUGUGUGUGCGCGUGUGUGCGUGUGUGCAUGUAUGCGUCUGUGUGUGUGUGCUUCUGUGCAUGUAUGUGUAUUUGUGUGCUGACAUGCCUGUAAGGGUCGCUGCAUGUGUGUUUGUGCAUGUGUUUGUGUUUAUGUGUGUGCGUUCACGCAAAGUUUGGUUGUAUGUGCGUGAAUAUCGAAGCGCACGCUCUACAUUUCAUCUGGCGAAGCGGAUGAUGGUGAAGCUGGUCUGAAGUGCCACGAAAACCCAGACAGUCAACAGACACGCAUGCUGAGAUUAUGCAACACAACCUAAUAUUCAGCCUACAACUAAAGGGAACAGAAUUUCGUGAUUCUUUGAUUCCAUGAGCAUUUGGUUCCCAGACAUCCACUGUAUGGCUCUCCUUGGAAAACUAGUCAGAACACGAAAGCUACUUGCUGUAACAUGGCUCUCAAAAAACACUUAAGUGUCUACUUAUCAUGGACUAUUGAAUGGGAAGACAUUGUGUUGUUUUUGAGUGAAAAUUUGUCUGAACGCUUCUAUUUGGGGUUUGGGAUUUCCACGUCAUUUUCCCAAGCAGGUGUUAAGAUGAUUAAAAAUGCCUUUGAGCUCAGCCUUAAUUUCCACGGAAAGUUCAACCGUAUUCCGUCAAGGUACUUGACUCGUGAUUCAUUUGUUUUAUAGUUAAGAAAAUAAAGAAUAAUGCUAAAACCAUUAUAUUGAAAUAGUAGCUUUGUGAAAGAUUUAAGCAAAGAACUGGGGAACAUUUUCUUCUUUUUAAUGUUUUACUCAUGUCAACACAAACACAUGGUCAAUAUCCAUCCCAUUAAUCAUAUUGAGCUGAAGUAUAUAUUCCCUAAUAAAUC
ensembl:lncRNA